rnacentral:rRNA from 1 species
AACGAACGCUGGCGGCAUGCUUAACACAUGCAAGUCGAACGAGAUCUUCGGAUCUAGUGGCGCACGGGUGCGUAACGCGUGGGGAUCUACCAUAGGGUGCGGAAUAACUCAGAGAAAUUUGAGCUAAAACCGCGUAAUGUCUUCGGACCAAAGAUUUAUCGCCCUUUGAUGAACCCGCGUAGGAUUAGCUUGUUGGUGAGGUAAGAGCUCACCAAGGCGACGAUCUUUAGCUGGUCUGAGAGGAUGAUCAGCCACGCUGGGACUGAGACACGGCCCAG